GUAGUCUGCAACUCGACUACAUGAAGCUGGAAUCGCUAGUAAUCGCGAAUCAGAAUGUCGCGGUGAAUACGUUCCCGGGUCUUGUACACACCGCCCGUCACACCAUGGGAGUCAGUAACGCCCGAAGUCAGUGACCCAACCAUAAAGGGAGGGAGCUGCCGAAGGUGGGACCGAUAACUGGGGUGAAGUCGUAACAAGGUAAC
rnacentral:rRNA from 1 species